UACGGGGGGUGCGAGCGUUGUCCGGAAUCACUGGGCGUAAAGGGAGCGUAGGCGGCGCGGUAAGUCAGAUGUGAAAUCCCGGGGCUCAACCCCGGAACUGCAUCCGAUACUGCCGUGCUAGAGGAUUGGAGAGGUAGCUGGAAUUCUUGGUGUAGCAGUGAAAUGCGUGGAGAUCAAGAGGAACACUCGUGGCGAAAGCGAGCUACUGGACAAUAUCUGACGCUGAGGCUCGAAGGCCAGGGUAGCGAAAGGG
rnacentral:rRNA from 1 species